GCCAGGCGCAGUGGUCCUUGCCUGUAGUCCCAGCUACUCAGGAGGCUGAGGUAGGAGGAUCGCUUGAGCCCAGGAGUUCUGGGCUGUAGUGCGCUAUGCCAAUCGGGUGUCCACACUAAGUUCGGCAUCAAUAUGGUGACCUCCCGGGAGCAGGGGACACCAGGUUGCCUAAGGAGGGGUGAACCGGCCCAGGUCAGAAACGGAGCAGGUCAAAACUCCCGUGCUGAUCAGUAGUGGGAUCGCAUCUGUGAAUAGCCACUGCACUUCAGCCUGGGCAACAUAGCAAGACACCCAUCUCUU
ensembl:misc_RNA Metazoa_SRP Metazoan signal recognition particle RNA